CAGGAUGUUGUUUGAAUUGCUUGUCCUAACAGGUGCACAAGUUGGGAUGGAUUAGAUUUCUAUCUUGAGAAAACGCCAUGAUUUCAGGGCUGCUUUCACCGGGUUUGAUGCAGAAAUCGUCGUCAACUUCACAGAAAGACAAAUAACAUUAGUGGCCACAGAUUGUAACCUGGAUUUAAACAAGGUUUGAGGUGCCAUCAAUAAUGCUAACAAAAUCUUCCAGGAUAAAUUUGACUUGGAUUUGAGUGUUCCGCACAUCUC